rnacentral:rRNA from 15 species
GAGUGCGAUCAUACUAGCACUAAAGCACCGGAUCCCAUCAGAACUCCGAAGUUAAGCAUGCUUGGGCGAGAGUAGUACUAGGAUGGGUGACCCCCGAGGAAGUCCUCGUGUUGCACUCC